rnacentral:misc_RNA from 2 species
AAUUCUCAAAACCCUUUCUUUGGUCUUUUGAUCAGGGGAAGGAUUUUUGGACUUGGAGGCCUUUUGCUGGUUUCACCUUGAAGCGAGCUCCUCCCAAAUGGAUUAGUGGGGUCUGCUUUGCCGAUCCUUGGCGUGAUAAGUUGUUUCUACGUCUUGGGUUUUGGCACUGUACACCUGCUUCUAACUGUCUCAUCGACAAUGAUGGUGCUCUGGUCACCGCCGAUUUCUCGGUGGGAGGCUUGACCCACAAAAUGAAC